rfam:Pelagibacterium halotolerans B2, complete genome.
GGGUGUAUAGCUCAGUUGGUAGAGCAGCUGACUCUUAAUCAGCGGGUCCAAGGUUCGAGCCCUUGUACACCCA